ACUCAAAUGAAUAGACGGGGGCCCGCACAAGCGGUGGAGCAUGUGGUUUAAUUCGAUGCAACGCGAAGAACCUUACCUGCCCUUGACAUCCUCGGGAUUUGGCUGAGAAGCGAAAGUGCCUACGGGAACCGAGAGACAGGUGCUGCAUGGCUGUCGUCAGCUCGUGUCGUGAGAUGUUGGGUUAAGUCCCGUAACGAGCGCAACCCCUGUCCCUAGUUGCCAGCGAGAGAAGUCGGGAACUCUAGGGAGACUGCCGGUGAUAAACCGGAGGAAGGUGGGGAUGACGUCAAGUCAUCAUGGCCUUGAUGGGCAGGGCUACACACGUGCUACAAUGGGCUGUACAGAGGGUUGCCAACCUGCGAAGGGGAGCUAAUCUCAGAAAACAGUUCGUAGUCCGGAUUGGAGUCUGCAACUCGACUCCAUGAAGUUGGAAUCGCUAGUAAUCGCGAAUCAGCAUGUCGCGGUGAAUACGUUCCCGGGCCUUGCACACACCGCCCGU
rnacentral:rRNA from 1 species